rnacentral:vault_RNA from 1 species
GCACUGGUGUAGCUCAGUGGUUACUUCGACCAACAAUUCUAUAUGAAUUAUGAUCUCCAUUCCUCUCUGGGAUCGAAACGCGGGCGCUGUCCAGUAUUUUA